ACGCUCGACACCUACGGGAGGGCAGCAGUGAGGGAUAUUGGUCAAUGGGGGAAACCCUGAACCAGCAACGCCGCGUGAGGGAUGACGGUCUUCGGAUUGUAAACCUCUGUCCUCUGUGAAGAUAAUGACGGUAGCAGAGGAGGAAGCUCCGGCUAACUACGUGCCNGCAGCCGCGGUAAUCUGAGCGGGCUGGCAAGGC
rnacentral:rRNA from 1 species